rnacentral:lncRNA from 1 species
GUGUGUGAAAGCCUGUCCGGUAGAGGCAGCUUCUGAAGUCUCAGCAGGUCCCNCCAAUGACAGUACAUUAGCUAAGCUAAGCGUGUGAAAGCCUGUCCGGUAGAGGCAGCUUCUGAAGUCUCAGCAGGUCCCUGAAAAUCUGGGUCAAGAAAUCUGUGGAAAAUUCUGACAGCUGUCAGGAAGGAGGUUAUUAAAUUCAUUGGAGAAUGAGUGUUGUCCUGAAUUUGGAUCAAGUCCAAGGAUGAAAAAGAAGGCUGAAGCCUAUCCAUGGAAGCACAACAUGUCUUUCUGAAACAGCUUUUCCACUAACUCUGAUUCUGUGAUUGGAGUACAUACUAUUUCCUGUAGGGUCACUGAGAGCUUUGGGAUCGUUCAA